UACGUAGGGUGCGAGCGUUGCCCGGAUUUAUUGGGCGUAAAGGGCGCGCAGGCGGCCACGCACGUCCGUUGUGAAAUCGCUCGGCUCAACUGGGCGGGGUCAGCGGAUACGGCGUGGCUGGAGCAAGCUAGGGGGCAAUGGAAUUCCCGGUGUAGCAGUGAAAUGCGUAGAGAUGUGGAGGAAUACCGAUGGCGAAGGCAGCCCCCUGGGAUAACACUGACGCUCAUGCACGAAAGCGUGGGGAGCAAACAGG
rnacentral:rRNA from 1 species